rnacentral:lncRNA from 1 species
AUGCUAACUGAAGGAAGAACUAUACUUCACAACUCUUCGUACUUCAAAGUGACUGGCGGAAAACUUAGGAACUUAGAAAAUUUCUCAAUGGCCUCUGACAAACACUUCAGUUACCAAUUGAGGGGAUUAAGUAGUGCAAACUUCCAAUUAUAAAAUAAGAGAGAUCUUAAGAGGGAAAGAAAGAAAACAUUUCUUCUGUUUCAAGUACUCUGUGAAGUGUCAUGUAAUGCUCAUAUCAGCUCCAUAAAGCAGGACUGAUAAUCCUCCUCUUGGAAAUGAGGAAAUAGAGACUCAGGUUCAACAACUGGGACCAGAUGAACAACUGGCAUAUGGGAGACUAGAUUUAAUUUUCAGGUCCAAUAAUUUUCUACAAUACCAAUGCUGCCUACCAGGAAGAGAGAGGAUUUAUGAAAGAAGAAGAAGUUAAAGAAAGAAAAUACCAAGAAUAACUUUAUCAGCUUCUAAUUUUGUCUAAAACUAGCAUAAAUUGUUAAUUCAACUGAUCUAUUUCACUAGAAGUUGCUUCUUAUCAUGAAAUGAUAAGAACUUAAAUAAUAAACUAACUUAAAAUUUAGUCCGUACCA